ACAAAAGGAGCUUUUAUUCUCUGUGUUUUCCAGGACAUUAAAUAAAUAUCACCAAACCACAAGUCUGUAUUAUCUGUAGCAUGAGGGAUUUUCCUUCUGCUUUCCAUCCAAAGCUUUUGAAACCUCUCGCUGAUGCAGUGAAGGGGCCACUGCCCUGCAUUAGGCAGGAACACAGGGCACAAGUCGUGGCAGUUGGGUGACUGAGAUGGAGUUAAAGGGUAUCUUUCUUCCUUGUUAGCUCUUCUGAUCUUUCUUGCUCACGACCAUAAGUGUGUCACUGCCUGUCCUUAUUAGUAGAGAAGCAUUAGUGUACACUGAUGUUCACUGUCAGCGCAGCUCUAUUAUUAGGUUUUCUUUGAUAAGGGAUUUUGGAUCAGUUUGGUGAGAUGUUUAAUGCAAUAAUGGAACUUCAUUGCAGUUCUCCUAUAGUUAAGUAUCUACUCCCUUUUUCUUUCUAGAGGAGCCCAAGGCCUUCCCAUGUUAUGUCACGCUGUCAGGCUGUGAUUUCCUGGGAUGGAUCUUUGCUGUCAGUAUCAGCAUGAAAUGUGCCCACCCCUCUGCUUUUUCCUGCCCUGGCCUCAUGGCACACUGCCUCAGGAGCUUCUGCCACUGCUGUUGUUGUUGUGCUGUAAAUCUGAUCAGAGCUGAGCUGGUUCUAACAAAUGCCUCAUUGUUGGUUUUGCUUUGUUUUGUUGUAAUGUGUUUCCCAGGGCUGGCACAAUAGAGAUAGCAGGGCUAGGUGGGCUUUGUGUUUUACUCCUGCAUUAUUUAGUUGGUUGGGGCCAUUGGUGUCAAAGACAGACGAAAUCUAGCCCCUGUACAUUUUUCCUGCCGAGGCUUAUGUAUCAUGGGAUUUGCUGUCUGCUGCCUUAUGCCACUGCUUCCACUCAUGCAAUAAAUAAAAUGCAAUUAAAUCAGAAUGGCAGCAGUUUCUCCAUAUGAUAAGAGCUGUCAGAAAAGGUGGGCAGUGAAGACUUAGGUUCAGCAGCUUCAUCCUUCAACUUCUGACCUAACCUGCUGCCUCCUUCUGUUUUUUUUAGGGUGAAGCAGAAACUUGCUGAGAGGCAAAGUGGUUUUCUCCAACUUUGGGUGAGAAUUCUAUCUCAGAAUUCAAUUUCAAAGACCUCAGCUCCUGUGGGCUUUCCAGCACUGCAGAGACUGAAGUGCUUGGAGGUGAGCGAAGUGCCUGCACUCUCAGGACUUACAGAUGUUUGUCACAAUAAUGCAAAUGGUAGAGUCUACAGAAGCUUUCUAUGUCUGCUGUUCAGGCCACUCCAGAGUUCAUACUGAUGAUGUGAUGAAGGCACUUCCUAUGUCCAGUAGUACUGGUGGGGGUGGGUGUUGGGCAUGUAAAGGCAUGAAGGCAGCAGGGUUUGGAGUUGCAGACUUGCACUCAGGCCACAGCUAAACCUUUGCUCUGAGCUAUGCCAAGGACAGAGGUAACGUGUGUGUGCCUGUAUCUUCUUUCAUCCUCCCCCCAUCUAGUGUCAGGGUAAUGUAAAGCUGCGUGUGAGGGCCAAUUAUGAUACUUAUCACUUGCUCCGGCAGCUCCAAGAUACCACUUUUUAAUGUGGCUCCAUCUUUGUUUUGGUGCUGACAUGCAGCCAGUGAGAUUAGGAAGGUGGAAAUUGCUUGCUUCAUAAAGGUUCAUCACUCAGCCCCUUUAUCCUUUUGGAUUCCUGCCUUGCUUUUAGGGUAUAAAACCUCCUUGUGUUUGUAUUAACGCUCAGCAUUAAAGGGAAUUGGGAACAAAGGGCUAAUGUUCCUUUAAAAGAAAAAAUUCGUGCCCUACUUUAGUAAGAUGCUUAAGAUUCUUGUGAAUGGAGGCUGUAAGGCAUAUUAAACUGCCCUGUGUUCUGUUUUCCCGAUUUACUAAUCCUGCUGAUUCAGACUUUACUAGCAAACCAGCAACAAUUAGCUGCUUUGUAGCUGCAGCUGUAAUCUGACAUCUCUGAAGAUGUCAGGUUGUUGUGAGGACAGCACCUAAGGAGCCUCCAUGUCAUAUCAAGGGCUUAGAUUUUUUCCUUUUAGCAUUUAUUCUGAGGCACGUGCCAGGUAUGGACUCCUAUACAGGCCUUUGCCAAUCAGAUGCUGAGGCCGUAUCCUUCAUUUAAUAAGAAAAACCUGCUCAUCUGUCAUUCUAUCAGCAGAAACCCUGGCCAAUAUUACAGCAGAAGCACCCAGUAGCUGUGUUGAU
rnacentral:lncRNA from 7 species